rnacentral:lncRNA from 1 species
GUGGCCCCAAGGAGACCUUCCUGCAGUGACCUCCAUUGUCCCAAGGGAACCACGUGCCAGAUGGUGGAUGGUUGGCCACGGUGUGUCCAACUCAAGACCUCUGUCAGGAGACCCACCUGUAGUGAUGUUCGGUGCUCCAAGGGGACGGUGUGUCAGAUGGUGGAUGGAUGGCCUCAGUGUCUUCAACCCAAGGUGGCCCCAAGGCAACCUUCAUGCAGGGACAUGCAGUGCCCAAAAGGGACCUCAUGCAGAAUGACAGAUGGGUGGCCCCACUGUGUGCAGAACCAGCCCUCCUGCCAGGAUGUUCAGUGUCAGAAGGGAACCGUGUGCCAGAUGGUGGAUGGAUGGCCUCAUUGUGUCCAGAUGAAGAGUUCCAUCAGGAGACCCACCUGCAGUGAUGUUCACUGCUCCAAGGGGACAGUGUGUGAGAUGGUGGAUGGAUGGCCUCAAUGUUUGCAACCCAAGGUGGUCCCAAAGCAGCCUUCUUGCAAGGACAUUCAGUGCCCCAAAGGGACGUCGUGUAGGAUCAGAGAUGGGUGGCCCCACUGUGUGCAGAACCAGCCCUCCUGCCAGGAUGUCCAGUGUCAGAAGGGAACUGUGUGCCAGAUGGUGGAUGGAUGGCCUCAUUGUGUCCAAAUCAAGACUUCCAUCAGGAGACCCACCUGUAGUGACCUACGGUGUUCCAAAGGUUCAGUGUGUGAGACGGUGGAUGGUUGGCCCCAGUGUGUUCAACCCAAGGUGGUCCCAAGGCAGCCUUCUUGCAAGGACAUGCAGUGUCCCAAAGGGACCUCAUGUCAGAUCAGAGAUGGGUGGCCCCACUGUGUGCAGAACCAGCCCUCCUGUCAUGAUAUCCAAUGUCAGAAGGGAAUGGAGUGUCAGACAGUGGAUGGAUGGCCUCAUUGUGUCCAAAUCAAGACCUCUAUCAGGAGACCCACCUGUAGUGAUGUUCGGUGCUCCAAAGGUUCAGUGUGUGAGAUGGUGGAUGGUUGGCCUCAAUGUGUUCAACCCAAGGUGGUCCCAAGGCAGCCUUCUUGCAAGGACAUGCAGUGUCCCAAGGGGUCCUCAUGUAGGAUGACAGAUGGGUGGCCCCAUUGUGUUCAGAACCAGCCCUCCUGCCAGGAUGUCCAGUGUCAGAUGGGAACCGUGUGCCAGAUGGUGGAUGGAUGGCCUCAUUGUGUCCAAAUCAAGACCUCUAUCAGGAGACCCACCUGUAGUGAUGUUCGGUGCUCCAAGGGGACAGUGUGUGAGAUGGUGGAUGGAUGGCCUCAAUGUUUGCAACCCAAGGUGGCCCCAAGGCAGCCUUCUUGCAAGGACAUGCAGUGUCCCAAAGGGACGUCGUGUAGGAUGACAGAUGGGUGGCCCCACUGUGUGCAGAACCAGCCCUCAUGCCAGGACGUCCAAUGUCAGAAGGGAACCGUGUGCCAGAUGGUCAAU